UCAAAUAGGUUUUUCUUAAAACUAGUUUUUGUAAACUGCAGCAGCAUACUUGGAUGCAUUUUAUUUCAUUGUCACUCUUGCUGCGUUGAUAGAAACAAGUCAGUGGAAAAAUAUAACGUUUGAGAGUACCAUUAUUGGUUUUGGUGAAAAUGAGGAUCUAUGGCAAUUAUACUGAUGUAACCUUAGAAACUCCUUGGAGCGGGAACUGCGUGCCUGGCUGCGACUGUCACGACAUCUACACUGAUCAUACCUGUAUGAAAUAAACUGCUCUGGAAAUGUCUACUGAAAUUGAGUUUGGAAUGAGUAAGAAAUAAUUAGGUAUUUAUUUUAAUAUUAUGUUGUAACUUGGAGAGAAAAAUAAAAAGAACAAAUAAUGACGUGAACUUUUAAUUUUAAUACAAUAAUAACGAAAUAUGUCAAAGUUUUAUAUUCUAAGUAUAGUAUUAUUUUCGUACAAAAUACUGGCCCUGAAAAACGGCAAAUCGGAAAACAUGAUAGUAAAUUAAUACUUUUUUUUAUUGUAAAAUUACACUUAGCGAUUCAAUAGCUUAAGUAUGUAUAUUUUCAAACAAUACAAAGUCAAAUGUGACUGGAAACAGUAAUAACAUAAGAUUACAAAAAUACGCUUAUAAAAUACUGUUAAACAUCAGAAUUAAUUGCAUAAUUACCCAGUUAUUGAAAGAAGAGAUAUCUGAACUUAUGCAUGACAAAGGCAAAACGUUUCGUUGAAUGUAACACAAUCAAUUUGCAAUUUUAUUACCUAGUAUUUAAUCAGAUGUUUUCAAGCAGACAUUAAAACCAAUAAGUUACCGUGACUUCAAUUUUCUUUCAAGUUCAUUUCAGCAUUAAUUUUGAAUUGAAAAA